rnacentral:lncRNA from 1 species
AUGUCAAGUACACCAGAAGGGCUUCCGCUUCUGCAGUGAUAAUGUGUAGCACAAAAGCUGAGACAAGCACGUGAGGCUUUUGAUGAGCAUAAACCAAUUGUUGCAUCACUAAAAAUACAACUUCAGGAUUUUGAGGGUAUGAAGCACCCACAUCUCCAGAUCCUGUUCAAGAGGUCAGUGAACCUUAAUGCAUUUUCCGUUGAGCUGCACCUCAUUUCAGCUUUGCUUUACAAAACCAUGAUGAGGAUAGGAUGGCAGUGUUUCAGUGGGAAACAUUCACACAUGAAAAGUGAAGGCUUAAAGGAAAAAAAAAAAAAAAGGCAGAUGAACUAUAAACACUGGCACCCUAUGUCUUAAAAACUGAAGAAAAGUGCAAAAAGCUGGUGGGUGGCGUGACAUCAGCUUGAGGUGAGCAGAAAAUGAAACUGCUGGGACAAUCAGCUCAGGCAGAGAAACACAGGCUGUUUUUAAGAAAAAUAAAAAUAAAAAAAAAAAUUGGGGGAGUCA